rnacentral:rRNA from 1 species
UGAGGGAAUAUUGGGUCAAUGGACGAGAGUCUGAACCAGCCAAGUAGCGUGCAGGAUGACGGCCCUCCGGGUUGUAAACUGCUUUUAGUUGGGAAUAAAAAAGGCGACGUGUCGCCUAUUGUAUGUACCAUCAGAAAAAGGACCGGCUAAUUCCGUGCCAGCAGCCGCGGUAAUACGGAGGAUGCGAGCGUUAUCCGGAUUUAUUGGGUUUAAAGGGUGCGCAGGCGGCGCGCCAAGUCAGCGGUCAAAGUUCCGGGCUCAACCCGGUGUCGCCGUUGAAACUGGCGUGCUCGAGUGCGUGCGAGGAAGGCGGAAUGCGUUGUGUAGCGGUGAAAUGCAUAGAUAUGACGCAGAACUCCGAUUGCGAAGGCAGCUUUCCAGCGCGCUACUGACGCUGA